AAUCGUCAUGCUUUAUAAAGAGAGAGAAAAACAAGAAAAAAAAAAAAAAAGCCCCACAGAAACCAAAAACAAAAAAUCUAGAGAGAGAAGGUGUGGCCGCAACACUAUAUACAAAAAACCAAAAUUUUUUCACACCUCUGAUUCUGCCUUUGAUUGCGGAACCAUCCCUUCCUUUCUCUCUUGUUUGGUUUUUUCUUUUCUUUUCCUUUCCGUCGAGUUGUUUCUUCUUCUUCAUUUUUUUUUUUUUGGGACUUCCGGCGAUACGAUGUCGUCGGGAGGUGCAAACAACUCGACAAACGGGAGCCCAGUACCAGGGGGACCCACCACGACAAGGCGACGCGUGGCAGAUCUUCCAACAACAGAGUCCGACAACUAUAAUUCAUCUUCCUGUUCGGACUAUCAUACCCUCGCCUCUAACGAUGAAGAAGCUGACAACUCCAACGGUUACAUUCCCUCCAGUUCUUCCUACGGGUCCCAUUAUUUCCACCACCACCAAAACCAUCACCCCGUGAUCAGGUAUCUGUUGAUUCGCAGGAAGUUGUUAUUCUCUUGGGUGCCUGACACGUGGUUCCUAUGGAUUGAAGACACGUGUCUCUGGUCGGUUAAUAUAGCUCAGAGUUUGAGAUCCUGCAGGAACAUGGGCCGUAACAUCUUCGGAUUUCUGUUGUUAAUGGCGGUUGUUUCCGUUUUUAUCAAAGUUUCACUUCUUAGUAGUCACGUUGAGGUUAACGGCAUAUGGAAAAAACAAAAUGGACUAUUGAUCUUGCAGACGUUUAAAGAAGAUUGGGCCUUGGCCCAAAGAGUUGUCGCCGAGACCCAUGUCGAACCCGAUACUGACCUCUCUAUGCCCAAACGCGUUCUUGAAAGGGUCUCUACCCCAGAAAUUUGGAUGAAACCAAACAGUGACAAUUAUCAACAAUGUAUAUCUCGACCUAAGAAACGAAUAAGGACUGGAUCAAAAUCUAAUGCGUAUAUUAUUGUUCAUGCCAAUGGUGGACUGAAUCAAAUGAGAACAGGAAUAUGUGAUAUGGUUGCUGUUGCCAAGAUAAUGAAUGCCACCCUGGUUCUUCCUUCUCUUGAUCAUGAGUCAUUUUGGACAGACCCAAGUGAUUUUAAGGAUAUUUUUGACUGGAGGCACUUCAUCAAUGUACUGAAAGAUGAUAUUGAGAUUGUUGAGUAUCUACCCGUUAAGUACACAGCAAUAAAGCCCGUGGUAAAGGCCCCUGUUUCCUGGUCAAAGGCUAGUUACUACAGAAGGGAGGUGCUCCCAUUGCUAAAGCGGCAUAAGGUGAUCAAGUUCACGCACAGUGAUUCAAGGCUUGCUAAUAAUGGCAUUGCAACCUUCAUUCAAAGACUUAGGUGCCGUGCCAAUUAUGAGGCUCUCCGCUAUACAAAAGAGAUAGAGGAUCUUGGGAGGACUUUAGUUGAUAGACUAAAGAACAAUAAUGAGCCAUACAUUGCUUUACACUUAAGGUAUGAGAAGGAUAUGCUUGCAUUCACAGGCUGCAUCCAUAACCUUACUGCAGAAGAGGGUGAUGACCUCACGGUUAUGAGAUACAAUGUUAGACAUUGGAAGGAGAAAGAGAUAGAUAGUGAAGAGCGGCGUAGUCAAGGGGGAUGUCCGAUGACCCCUAGAGAGGCAGCCAUUUUCCUCAAGGCCAUGGGUUACCCUUCCAGCACGCCUAUCUACAUUGUUGCAGGAGAGAUCUAUGGCAGCAAUAGCAUGGCAGCCUUUCGUUCAGAGUAUCCGAAUGUCUUCUCUCAUUUUACUUUGGCAACUGAAGAAGAGUUGGAGCUGUUCAAGCCAUAUCAGAAUCGCCUUGCUGCCUUGGAUUAUAUUGUGGCACUUGAAAGUGAAGUCUUUAUUUAUACCUAUUAUGGGAAUAUGGCUAAAGCCGUACAGGGGCACAGACGGUUUGAAGGAUUUCGAAAGACCAUCAACCCUGAUAAAAAAAAUUUUGUCAAACUCAUUGACCAACUGGAUGAGGGUGUAAUAUCUUGGGAGAAGUUUUCUUUGGAAGUAAAGAGUUUACACUCUGACAGGCUUGGAGCGCCAUACCUAAGACAACCGGGAGAGUCACCGCGACUAGAGGAGAAUUUUUAUGCAAAUCCCCUUCCUGGGUGCAUUUGUAACAGAUCUCGGGAGCAGCAAAUUAGCAGCCUGAAGUUUGAUCGGCACUUGAGUUCAGUUAAAAGAUAGUAUAUUAGUUAGUGGAUUAUGUCAGUUAAAUUAUACACUGCCCUCUGAAGGAGGAUGGCUGAUAAGGAUUCUUGAAUUAAGUGCUUUCCCCCGGUAGGGAGACUUGCAGCAGAGGCCUACAGGGCUGAGAAAUCUUACGGUUUCUGAUUUCUCAUGAGAUUUGGUGUCAGCUGAAUUAUACAGUACCAGUUUCAGUUUUGUUAGGGGACCUACAGGGCUGAGAAAUCUUAUGGUUUCUGAUUUCUCGUGAGAUUUGGUGUCAACUGAAUUAUACAGUACCAGUUUCAGUAUUGUUAGGGGACCCAACCAGCAACUUUUGUAAGCAGAGAAGAUGAUGUAUAAUUCUGAGGCAAAUCAGUUUUUUCCCUUAUGUGAAGGCAAUAUCUGUACUGCUGUAAGUAUAAGGACUAGAGUCUAUCAAAGUGAUUCGCGGUGAGUCUCUGCUUUAUUGUCAUGAUGAAGGAAACAGUCCCGAUCUUAUUCGGUAAAGUAAGGGAAAAAAAAGAAGGAAAUGAAAAAAAAAAAUGAAGACAAUCAAUCCUGUUGGCAGAAUGUGAUUCUAUGGACAAAUAAAGAAAGGUUUUAUACAGUUUUUGUUUUCUAAUGACUUCAGAACAACUAGCAGUUGCCUUUCCAAACUGAUUCUGCCGCAAUGUCAGGUUUAAAUUAAUGAAAAAAGAAUCGAAAUUUCGCUGCUCAGCUGGAUUUAAGGUAACUUUUAGCUCAUAUUACACAUGAAGCUCCGAGCUCGUAUUAUUGAAGCAAUAUUUGAUGCUUCUCUUU